CCUACGGGCGGCAGCAGUGAGGAAUAUUGGUCAAUGGACGAGAGUCUGAACCAGCCAAGUAGCGUGAAGGAUGACUGCCCUAUGGGUUGUAAACUUCUUUUAUAAAGGAAUAAAACGAGGCACGUGUGCCUUUUUGCAUGUACUUUAUGAAUAAGGAUCGGCUAACUCCGUGCCAGCAGCCGCGGUAAUACGGAGGAUCCGAGCGUUAUCCGGAUUUAUUGGGUUUAAAGGGAGCGUAGAUGGGUUGUUAAGUCAGUUGUGAAAGUUUGCGGCUCAACCGUAAAAUUGCAAUUGAUACUGGCAGUCUUGAGUACAGUUGAGUUAAGCGGAAUUCGUGGGGUAGCGGUUAAAUGCUUAGAUAUCACGAAGAACCCCGAUUGCGAAGGCAGCUUACUAAACUGUGACUGACAUUGAUGCUCGAAAGUGUGGGGAUCAAACAGGAUUAGAUACCCCGAGUAGUC
rnacentral:rRNA from 1 species